UAAGUGUUUGGUAGAAUUCACU
rnacentral:miRNA from 1 species